rnacentral:tRNA from 1 species
UGCACCGAUAGGGUAGUCAGGAUAUCCUAUGGGCCUCCGGAGCCUAUGACUCGGGUUCAAAUCCCGACCGGUGCGUC